GUUCGAUUAUACUUCUGUUGCCUUUUACAGUAACAUUAAAUGAAUUCAUGUAAAAAAAAUAAAGGACACAUACCAGGGCUGUAGAAAGUUUGUUCUUCAUAAAAGUCAUCAGUUCAUCAUAAAAAAAAAAUACUAAUGAAUAACAAAUCAAAUUAAUGUAAAUCAUUCUGUAAAGACCCUUACAAGCACAUCCACAGGGACUGGAUUAGUAGCGCAGUGACAAAAUAUACAAAUUAACAGGAAAUCAUAAUAUGAUGGCAGAGAAAUAAAAAAGAAACAAUUGAGCAUACUGACAUGUUUACUACAUUGUUGCAUGUUUCCCACCAUAUAAAAAGAACAUAUCGUCCAUUGGUUAGGAUUUGCAUAACUUAUGUGCUCCGUGAAUGACCACUGAGAAAACACCCUGGACAAUUCUUCAAUAUGUACAAAAUGAUCAGAAUGUAAAUAUAUGUUUUUUAGAUAAACAACUCCUUACCAUUAAUGCAUAGCAGAAAUAUGUUUUUUUUCUCCUCUUGGUCCUGUGCAAUUAGUUACUUCACAAUAAAAGCCCUGUUUUACUCCAAAAGAUAUACAAAUAUACAGUUAAACACAUAAGGCCAAUGUUUAGAAUGCUGGAUGGUGAUAUCUGUAAUAAUACAGCGGCCUGGAAAUACUUUCAUGCAUUAGUGUAUACACAGCUAAUUUCACUGUCCAUGUUGCAUACAUACCCCUACUUUCAUGGUUUAAUGUCAAACAUAAAAAAGUCAGGUUUUCAUGAUUAUACACAGCUGAGAGUUAGCCUUCACAUCCUGUAGGCCCAAAUCUCAUACGGUCUAAUAAUAUAGAAUUCCGCCCUUUGUAAGAGAAAACACACAAUCUUUGCUUUCUUUUGUGGAGUGCUUAUAGUAUAAAGCACCAUUUCAUUCUAGAAGAUUUGGUGCAUACUCUACCAUCAGAUUUGCCCUUUUCAAUGUUGAGUAAUUCUGUUCUAUCAGAAGAGAACACAAUGUACAUUAUCCCCAUCUAAUGCAAACAGAAACUAUCAAAUGCCCAAAGCUUUCAGCGCAGACCACUUCAUGUCAAAUAACAUUUAAGUAACCCAUUUAAACCAUCCCCAUCAAGUCCAAUUGACCAUAGUGCUGAAGUAAGCAAGUAUGACAAUUUUGCUAGGCAGAAAAGACGAAUAUGGCAUUGCUGGAAGGCAUGGGCAAUGUUUGGAUAUGAAGUAUUAACUCCACAGAUUACAAUAGUGCCUACACUCUUAGAAAUAAGGACACUAUUGUUCCCUCAGUUAAAACAAAAUCUAAUCCAUACACAGUGUACCUUUGGAAUUCCACACAUUGAUCUCAAAUGAUACUUUUAGGUACCUUUAAAAAUACAUGUGCAGAUACAAUAUUUUG
ensembl:lncRNA